rnacentral:rRNA from 1 species
UACAGAGGUCCCAAGCGUUGUUCGGAUUCAUUGGGCGUAAAGGGUGCGUAGGCGGCGCGGUAAGUCGGGUGUGAAAUCUCGGAGCUUAACUCCGAAACUGCAUUCGAUACUGCCGUGCUUGAGGACUGGAGAGGAGACUGGAAUUUACGGUGUAGCGGUGAAAUGCGUAGAUAUCAGGAGGAACACCAAUGGCGAAGGCAGCUCGCUGGAACGGUACUGACGCUGAGGCGCGAAAGCGUGGGGAGCAAACAGG